UACAGAGGUCCCAAGCGUUGUUCGGAUUCACUGGGCGUAAAGGGUGCGUAGGUGGGUUGGUAAGUCAGUGGUGAAAUCUCCGUGCUUAACAUGGAAACUGCCAUUGAUACUACUGAUCUUGAAUUUUCAGGAGGUAAGCGGAAUAUGUCAUGUAGCGGUGAAAUGCUUAGAUAUGACAUAGAACACCAAUUGCGAAGGCAGCUUACUACAGGAAUAUUGACACUGAUGCACGAAAGCGUGGGGAUCAAACAGG
rnacentral:rRNA from 1 species